rnacentral:rRNA from 1 species
CGGAGGGGAACACUGGGAGGCCUCUCCUGGUUUUUAAAGUUGGGGACCGCAAGGCCUGACGCUUCAUGAUGAGCCCGCGGCCUAUCAGCUAGUUGGUGAGGUAACGGCUCACCAAGGCUAAGACGGGUAGCUGGUCUGAGAGGACGACCAGCCACACUGGAACUGAGACACGGUCCAGACACCUACGGGUGGCAGCAGUCGAGAAUUUUUCACAAUGGGCGCAAGCCUGAUGGAGCGACGCCGCGUGGGGGAUGAAUGGCUUCGGCCCGUAAACCCCUGUCAUUUGCGAUCAAACCUCGCUAUUUAAAAAGAUGGCGAGCCUGAUAGUAKCGAAAGAGGAAGGGACGGCUUGUGCCAGCAGCCGCGGUAAUACAGA